GCGAACCCCGGAAGCGCGGCAGACGCGAGAGAGAUAACCGAACGCGUGCUACAGGAGCCAAAUACCGUUGCCCUUUGAGUGCCCAAGCGAGCUGUACAGUGACGAUCGCACGGAAUUGGCCAGGUUUAGAUGGUGAGCUAUAAACCCAGGUUCUGAUCCGCAACCCUGACACUCAACUCACUCCUGCCAGGAACCCCGACACCUCCACUCCUCUGUCCGGGCUGGUAGGAGGCUCUUGUAGCCAGCGUUAAAAACUCACACCUUCCACGCAAUGGCUCUACGACCAACCCCAAUAAUCACCAUUCACCGCCACUCCUCACGAACACUUAUCCCCCUGAACUCCCGCUCUGGUCGUACGUUCCAUAUCUCCAACUGUGCGUGGCAAACUGUGACUUUUUGGACCUAUGCAAUUGGAUCAAUCUGUUUUUUGGACUCUCAACACUGAUUGUUCUUUGUAAUAACUACCUCACUAUAUUAUUGUGAAGUUUGGGUUUUACUGAAUGGCCAUUCCAGCAAUCAUUAAUAUAUUGUCUUUUGUCAUUGUUUUGUCUUAAUACAUGGUACCGCAAAUCUAAUUCAGUCUCUGUCUCCUCUCUCCCUGAGCCGCACCUUAUCUUCUGGUCACUAGCCCAUAAUUAUUACACUGCGU